ensembl:lncRNA
AAUUCAUUGGGGCUUUUAGGUUGGUCUCCUCGUCAGAGGCGAAUCAAUAAUCUGCUGUUUUCCUCCCUCCUUUUCUUUCAAGACUAAAAAGUGGCACGUAACUUCCAUCAGAGGGGGAGAAGGAAAAUGAAAGACAGCAGCAGGUCCCAGAGAAAUGCUGGAGACAAUUUGCCGCUAAUGGCAGAUGCUAGCCUUUCCUCCGCCUUUUGUUUUGAUGUUAUUGGAUGAAAAGGCAGGUCUUUAGCAGCGAGCGCAGGGCCGGAGCGUGAAAACAAUUUGCCCUGGCUGUAGAGGGAGUGAUGUGGUUUUCUCUCCCAUAGGUACGAGGAAAUAUCUAGUUACCAAGCACUCUCUCAGACUAGCUCGAAACGGACAAAAAAGAGAGCAUUUCCUCUCACUGGCUCCAUGUGAAGGAGGAUAAAUCCUGUGUUUCUGGCAGAAGCCGCCAUGCAUCCUGGCCAUGGUGGAGGCCAUUGACA